rnacentral:rRNA from 1 species
UGGAAUUGGUGGGCAGGGGGCAGUAUGAGCUAGCUGGCGCUGAUUUUUGUUGCCAGCGAGCAGAAGUUAUAGGUCUUCUUAUAGCUGCUGCCGGUGGACCAUUAAACUCUUGUUAUUUUAUGUAAUCUGAGCGUCUUAUUUUAAUAAGUCAAAACUUUCAACAACGGAUCUCUUGGUUCUGGCAUCGAUGAAGAACGCAGCGAAAUGCGAUAAGUAAUGUGAAUUGCAGAAUUCAGUGAAUCAUCGAAUCUUUGAACGCACAUUGCGCCCAUUAGUAUUCUAGUGGGCAUGCCUGUUCGAGCGUCAUUUCAACCCUUAAGCCUAGCUUAGUGUUGGGAAUCUACUUCUUUUAUUAGUUGUAGUUCCUGAAAUACAACGGCGGAUUUGUAGUAUCCUCUGAGCGUAGUAAUUUUUUUUCUCGCUUUUGUUAGGUGCUAUAACUCCCAGCCGCUAAACCCCCAAUUUUUUGUGGUUGACCUCGGAUCAGGUAGGAAUACCCGCUGAACUUAAGCAUAUCAAUAAGCGGAGGA